UACGAAGGGGGCUAGCGUUGCUCGGAAUCACUGGGCGUAAAGCGCACGUAGGCGGAUUGUUAAGUCGGGGGUGAAAUCCUGGAGCUCAACUCCAGAACUGCCUUCGAUACUGGCGAUCUCGAGUUCGGGAGAGGUGAGUGGAACUGCGAGUGUAGAGGUGAAAUUCGUAGAUAUUCGCAAGAACACCAGUGGCGAAGGCGGCUCACUGGCCCGAUACUGACGCUGAGGUGCGAAAGCGUGGGGAGCAAACGGG
rnacentral:rRNA from 1 species